UGUGUUUAUUCUACUUGUUUACAGACUUACACAUAGAUGCAAAAAGUAAAUCCUCUUUUGCAACCCAGAAUUCAUUGUUCAGUAUGAGUUUUGAUACAUAUAAGAAGGAAUAUG
rnacentral:snoRNA from 1 species